CCGGCGGCCGAGGUGGGA
rnacentral:miRNA from 1 species